CCUACGGGAGGCAGCAGUGAGGAAUAUUGGUCAAUGGACGAGAGUCUGAACCAGCAAAGUAGCGUGAAGGAUGACUGCCCUAUGGGUUGUAAACUUCUGUUAUAAAGGAAUAAAACGAGGCACGUGUGCAUUUUUGCAUGUACUUUAUGAAUAAGGAGAGGCUAACUCCGUGCCAGCAGCCGCGGUAAUACGGAGGAUCCGAGCGUUAGCCGGAUUUAUUGGGUUUAAAGGGAGCGUAGAUGGGUUGUUAAGUCAGUUGUGAACGUUUUCGGCUCAACCGUAAAAUUGCAAUUGAUACUGGCAGUCUUGAGUACAGUUGAGGUAAGCGUAAUUCGUGGUGUAGCGGUGAAAUGCUUAGAUAUCACGAAGAACCCCGAUUGCGAAGGCAGCUUACUAAACUGUGACUGACAUUGAUGCUCGAAAGUGUGGGUAUCAAACAGGAUUAGAUACCCUUGUAGUC
rnacentral:rRNA from 1 species